rnacentral:rRNA from 1 species
GGGGAAUAUUGGGCAAUGGGCGAAAGCCUGACCCAGCAACGCCGCGUGAAGGAAGAAGGCCUUCGGGUUGUAAACUUCUUUUACCAGGGACGAAGGACGUGACGGUACCUGGAGAAAAAGCAACGGCUAACUACGUGCCAGCAGCCGCGGUAAUACGUAGGUUGCAAGCGUUGUCCGGAUUUACUGGGUGUAAAGGGCGUGUAGGCGGAGAUGCAAGUUAGGAGUGAAAUCUAUGGGCUCAACCCAUAAACUGCUUCUAAAACUGUAUCCCUUGAGUAUCGGAGAGGCAAGCGGAAUUCCUAGUGUAGCGGUGAAAUGCGUAGAUAUUAGGAGGAACACCAGUGGCGAAGGCGGCUUGCUGGACGACAACUGACGCUGAGGCGCGAAAGCGUGGGGAGCAAACAGGAUUAGAUACCCUGGUAGUCCACGCUGUAAACGAUGAAUACUAGGUGUGGGAGGACUGACCCCUUCCGUGCCGCAGUUAACACAAUAAGUAUUCCACCUGGGGAGUACGACCGCAAGGUUGAAACUCAAAGGAAUUGACGGGGGCCCGCACAAGCAGUGGAUUAUGUGGUUUAAUUCGACGCAACGCGAAGAACCUUACCAGGACUUGACAUCCAACUAACGAAGUAGAGAUACAUUAGGUGCCCUUCGGGGAAAGUUGAGACAGGUGGUGCAUGGUUGUCGUCAGCUCGUGUCGUGAGAUGUUGGGUUAAGUCCCGCAACGAGCGCAACCCCUAUUGUUAGUUGCUACGAAAGAGCACUCUAGCGAGACUGCCGUUGACAAAACGGAGGAAGGCGGGGACGACGUCAAAUCAUCAUGCCCCUUAUGUCCUGGGCUACACACGUAAUACAAUGGUGGUAAACAGAGGGAAGCAAAGCCGCGAGGCAGAGCAAAUCCCUAAAAGCCAUCUCAGUUCGGAUUGCAGGCUGCAACUCGCCUGCAUGAAGCUGGAAUUGCUAGUAAUCGCGGAUCAGAAUGCCGCGGUGAAUACGUUCCCG